rnacentral:pre_miRNA from 1 species
GACAUACUCCCUCCGUCCGAAAAUACUUGUCAUCAAAAUAAAUAAAAGGGGAUGUAUCUAGAUGUAUUUUAGUUCUAGAUACAUCCUUUUUUGUCCAUUUUGAUGACAAGUAUUUUCGGACGGAGGGAGUAUAUG